rnacentral:pre_miRNA from 1 species
AGCCACUGACUAACGCACAUUGUGCCAGUUGACAGUUCCACUGUGCGUGUGACAGCGGCUAA